CCUACGGGGGGCAGCAGUGAGGAAUAUUGGUCAAUGGACGAGAGUCUGAACCAGCCAAGUAGCGUGAAGGAUGACUGCCCUAUGGGUUGUAAACUUCUUUUAUAUGGGAAUAAAACGUUCCACGUGUGGGAUUUUGUAUGUACCAUAUGAAUAAGGAUCGGCUAACUCCGUGCCAGCAGCUGCGGUAAUACGGAGGAUCCGAGCGUUAUCCGGAUUUAUUGGGUUUAAAGGGAGCGUAGGUGGAUUGUUAAGUCAGUUGUGAAAGUUUGCGGCUCAACCGUAAAAUUGCAGUUGAAACUGGCAGUCUUGAGUACAGUAGAGGUGGGCGGAAUUCGUGGUGUAGCGGUGAAAUGCUUAGAUAUCACGAAGAACUCCGAUUGCGAAGGCAGUUCACUGGACUGCAACUGACACUGAGGCUCGAAAGUGUGGGUAUCAAACAGGAUUAGAUACCCCUGUAGUC
rnacentral:rRNA from 1 species